rnacentral:rRNA from 1 species
GGGUUUUGGGAUAUUGAGGUUAAACGUCCUUGGGUUUGAAUAGUACUGGGUUGGGUGACCUCUCGGGAAGUUCAAAUUCAGGAGCUU